GCCCGGGUGGUGGAAUAGGUAGACACUGGGGACUUAAAAUCCCCUGGCUUAAUAAGCCGUGCCGGUUCGAUUCCGGCCUCGGGCA
rnacentral:tRNA from 1 species